UACGUAGGGGGCAAGCGUUGUCCGGAAUCAUUGGGCGUAAAGCGCGUGUAGGCGGCUUGAUAAGUCUGCUCUGAAAGCCAGGGGCUCAACCCUGGGAGGCGGGUGGAUACUGUCGAGCUCGAGUCCGGAAGAGGCGAGUGGAAUUCCUGGUGUAGCGGUGAAAUGCGCAGAUAUCAGGAGGAACACCAAUGGCGAAGGCAGCUCGCUGGGACGGUACUGACGCUGAGACGCGAAAGCGUGGGGAGCGAACAGG
rnacentral:rRNA from 1 species